rnacentral:misc_RNA from 1 species
GCAAACUUGGUCAUUUAGAGGAAGUAAAAGUCGUAACAAGGUUUCCGUAGGUGAACCUGCGGAAGGAUCAUUAUCAGGAACGCUGGCUCUGCCGGCAUCCUUCAACCCCUUGCGUUUGUCACCUUGUUGCCUUGGCGGGCCCGCGAUGGUCCUGGGCCAGCGCCCCCGGCUCCAGCUGGGUAGCGUCCGCCAGAGGAACCGCAAACUCCAGCUGUAUAACACAAGUGUCUGAGCUAGAAUGCAAUGGUUAAAACUUUCAACAACGGAUCUCUUGGUUCUGGCAUCGAUGAAGAACGCAGC